rnacentral:rRNA from 1 species
GAUGAACGCUGGCGGCGUGCCUAAUACAUGCAAGUCGAGCGAACAGACGAGGAGCUUGCUCCUUCGACGUUGGCGGCGGACGGGUGAGUAACACGUAGGUAACCUACCUAUAAGACUGGGAUAACUUCGGGAAACCGGAGCUAAUACCGGAUAAUAUUUCGAACCGCAUGGUUCGAUAGUGAAAGAUGGCUUUGCUAUCACUUAUAGCUGGACCUGCGCCGUAUUAGCUAGUUGGUAAGGUAACGGCUUACCAAGGCAACGAGACGUAACCGACCUGAGAGGGUGAUCGGCCACACGGGAGCGGAGACGCGGUCCAGACGCCUACGGGAGGCAGCAGAAGGGAAUCUUCCGCAAUGGGCGAAAGCCUGACGGAGCAACGCCGCGUGAGUGAUGAAGGUCUUCGGAUCGUAAAACUCUGUUAUUAGGGAAGAACAAACGUGUAAGUAACUGUGCACGUCUUGACGGUACCUGAUCAGAAAGCCACGGCUAACUACGUG